rnacentral:rRNA from 1 species
CACGCCGUAAACGAUGGAUACUAGGUGUAGGAGGUAUCGACCCCUUCUGUGCCGGAGUUAACACAAUAAGUAUCCCACCUGGGGAGUACGGCCGCAAGGCUGAAACUCAAAGGAAUUGAC